rnacentral:rRNA from 1 species
UACGUAGGAGGCGAGCGUUGUCCGGAGUUACUGGGCGUAAAGGGUGCGUAGGCGGCCGCGCGCGUGGCGGGUGAAAUCUCCCGGCUUCCCGGGAGGGGGCUUGCCAGACGGCGCGGCUUGAGGGACGGAGAGGGCGUGGAAUUCCGGGUGGAGCGGUGAAAUGCGUAGAGAUCCGGAGGAACACCGACGGCGAGGCAGCGCCCUGGCCGUGCAAUAACCCUGACGCUGAAGCACGAAAGCUGGGGGAGCGAACAGG